GAUGAACGCUGGCGGCGUGCCUAACACAUGCAAGUCGAACGAAGAACCAAUGACGAAGUUUUCGGACAACUGAUUUGGUUUCUUAGUGGCGGACGGGUGAGUAACGCGUGAGUAACCUGCCUCGGAGUGGGGAAUAACAGCUGGAAACAGUUGCUAAUACCGCAUGAUGCAGCGAGAGGACAUCCUCUUGCUGCCAAAGAUUUAUCGCUCUGAGAUGGACUCGCGUCUGAUUAGCUAGUUGGCGGGGUAAUGGCCCACCAAGGCGACGAUCAGUAGCCGGACUGAGAGGUUGACCGGCCACAUUGGGACUGAGAUACGGCCCAGACUCCUACGGGAGGCAGCAGUGGGGAAUAUUGGGCAAUGGGCGAAAGCCUGACCCAGCAACGCCGCGUGAAGGAAGAAGGCCCUCGGGUUGUAAACUUCUUUUAUCAGGGACGAAAAAAAUGACGGUACCUGAUGAAUAAGCCACGGCUAACUACGUG
rnacentral:rRNA from 1 species